rnacentral:rRNA from 1 species
UGCUGACUCGCUAGCCCAACCAAACCAAAAACAACAAAUCACAAUAACUAAACCCAAAGACAUUAAUACAUACACGAACAAACCAUUUUUCCCCCUUAGUAUGGGCGACAGAAAAGAGACUUUUGGAGCAAUAGAGAAAGUACCGCAAGGGAAUGCUGAAAAACUAAAUGAAAUAAACAAGUGAAGCCCAAAAAAGCAGAGAUUUUACCUCGUACCUUUUGCAUCAUGAUUUAGCCAGUGCAACCCAAGCAAAGAGCACUAUAGUUUGACAACCCGAAACUUUGUGAGCUACUCCAAGGCAGCCUAAUAAUAGGGCCAACCCGUCUCUGUGGCAAAAGAGUGGGAAGACCUUCGAGUAGAGGUGAUAAACCUACCGAACUUAGUAAUAGCUGGUUGCCCGACAAUUGGAUAGGAGUUCAGCCUCCCGGCUUCUUUCUUCCUUAACCCCUUAUAUCUCAACAGAUACUGCAAGAAACCAGGAGAGUUAGUCAAAGGGGGUACAGCCCCUUAGAAACAAGAUACAACUUUUUUAGGAGGAUAAAGAUCAUA